rnacentral:rRNA from 1 species
GAUGAACGCUGGCGGCGUGCCUAACACAUGCAAGUCGAGCGAUUCUCUUCGGAGAAGAGCGGCGGACGGGUGAGUAACGCGUGGGUAACCUGCCCUGUACACACGGAUAACAUACCGAAAGGUAUGCUAAUACGAGAUGAUAUAUAAAAGUUGCAUGACUUUCAUAUCAAAGCUUUUGCGGUACAGGAUGGACCCGCGUCUGAUUAGCUAGUUGGUAAGGUAACGGCUUACCAAGGCGACGAUCAGUAGCCGACCUGCGAGGGUGAUCGGCCACACUGGAACUGAGGCACGGUCCAGACUCCUACGGGAGGCAGCAGUGGGGAAUAUUGCACAAUGGGCGAAAGCCUGAUGCAGCAACGCCGCGUGAGCGAUGAAGGCCUUCGGGUCGUAAAGCUCUGUCCUCAAGGAAGAUAAUGACGGUACUUGAGGAGGAAGCCCCGGCUAACUACGUGCCAGCAGCCGCCGUAAGAC